rnacentral:lncRNA from 1 species
GAUGCAGGAUUUGAGAAGGUGAAAAGCAAAACGAUGCUGCGCCCGCUCAGAGAGCCAGGACUACAGGGAGCAGCUCCCACCCCGGGGCCUGGGGAACAGAGGAAGAGGCGGGGCUGCCGGAGUUUAGGAGUGUGGGGAGGAGGGUCCUGCUCUGUCUCCUGUAGCUGUAACAACUACCUGAGGUUCGGUGAUGUAUAAGGAGCGGAAGUUUACUCGUCUGGAAGUCCAAGGCCCCGCCCCUGCUGCAUCUGAGGAGAGCCCACCCGUGCACCACAGCACGGCACAGCACAUCUUGUGGCGAGGCUGAGCAGGUGCACUGCUUGGAUCACUCUUCUUCCAAAGCCACUCACGCCACCCUACGGGUCCCCAGCCUCGAAAGCCCCCAGGGGCCCCGCCCCCAAACACCACGAACAGAAGACUCUGGGGAUUAAGCUUCCAACCCACGAAUUCUGGGCGGCAAACAUUCCAGCCAUAGCACGCCCUGAGGGUCACACUUGGACCCCCAGGAGAUGAGCCUGCAGGGCCAGUGCUUGGAGCCCUCAGAGGGCACCCGCACAGGUGCUCAGCGUCUCAGGGGAGCUGGACUGCGGGCGGAGUUGGCAGUCCUGAGAGUCCCUUCGCCCCGGCCCCCUUCAUUUCUACCAUCGGCUCCCAGCAGCCAACCAAAGCCAGCCAGAAACAAGAAGUCCCUGAACGCUGUCUCUGUGCCAUCAGCGCCCACAACGCACCGUGCUUGGAAAUGACUUUGGCUGUUGGAUGUCCCCAAAGGCCCAUGUGUCCACGGUUUAUUUCUCGGAGUCUUAAGUUAACAGUACAAGGAGGGUAGGGACACGGUCCAGUUAUGGUGCUUGGGAGCUGGGCCUAGGAGGGGGUGUUUUGCUCACUGGGGUGUACCUUCAGAAGGUAGCUGUCACCAGAGGAUUGGUUAUCACAGAAGGGUUGGUCCCAGCCCUCCUCCUCCCCUUCCCCUCCCCCUCCCCCUCUUCCUCCCUCUCCUCUUCUCCCUCUCCCUGUCUCCUCCCUGGCUUAGGGUGUGAUGCUUCCUCUGUGCACACCCUGCCUCUGCAAUCAGCCAUGGGUCUCUAACCCAGGGCCUGACUGACCC